CAUUCUAGGAUAGUAAAUGAGUCACCAAGAAUUUUUUCAGAUUUUUUAAAGCAUUUUUAAGCAAAAUUUUAAUCAUCGGACACGAGUGACCCGACGUUACCGUGUAAAGGUAGUAAAAAUUACGUUACCUCGUAAGGGUUAAACGACCAAUUUUCAUAUUUAAUGAACAAGAACUUGAACUAUUGAUCAGUGGCUUGCCUACUGUAAAUAUCUUAAAGGAGGAUCUUAAAGCAAAUAUUGAGUAUCAUAAAUACACUGCUACGUUUUUAUAGAUUCAAUGGUUCUGCUGCAUUGCGAGGUUUUAAUCAAGCGGAUUGUUCGAAGUUCUUACAAUUCAUCACUAGUACAUCUAAAGUGUCGUUACAAGGUUUUGCUGCGUUAAAAGGCAUGAACGGCAUACAAAAGUUCCAAAUUCACAGAAAAGACAAGUUGACAGACAGGCUUUCAUUUGCACAUAUUUGUUUCAAUCAACUGGAUUUGCCAGUGUACGAGACGUUUGAUAAACUCUGAACAAAUCUACUCAAGGCGACUUACGAAUGCACCAAAGAAUUUGGAUUUGCAUAAGCUUACCAGAAUUUGCUCCUGUACAAUUUCCUGCGUUCAAUCGAUGAUAUUCUAGAGACCAAACUUAUGGUUGGAUCUUUACAGCCAGUGAUAACAUUCCGGACGUGCAAUGGCCUAUUGCUUGCAAAAUUUUUAACGUACAUACAAAAAUUGUUAUACGCAAUGCUAUAUGUAAAACUAUCUUGUGAACGUAGCGAAUCACAGUGCUCUAAUUGCUAUAAUAUGUAUUAUUACACUUAUACGACUUUAUAAAUACGAAAUAUAUAUUUUCAUUUUAUCAUACACAUUAACUCUCAUGUAAUUAAUGGACAAUAAUUUAUUUGUUAAUAUAUACGCUAAUAAAUACGCUGAUUUUAAAAUGCA
rnacentral:lncRNA from 13 species